GCCCGGAUGGCGAAAUUGGUAGACGCAAGGGACUUAAAAUCCCUCGGUGGCAACACCGUGCCGGUUCGACCCCGGCUCCGGGCA
rnacentral:tRNA from 1 species